GCCAGCGAAAGAAGGCAAGGAGAGCGUUCGCAGUAAAGGGAGGUCAAUGCGCAUGCGCUUAUGCCUUCCCAAGUCAGGGGAGAGGGAGCACAGUGCGCCUGCGCUGACGCCGAGGACGAGUAGGCGGGUCUAUUUCUCCUUAGGAUGAACAAGGUGUCUAAGAACUCCUUCUUGUCUUCUGAGGUGCCUGGCAAAGAAACAGUCAAAGAGUUUGUUCAAGGCCAUCAUAGGAACUGGUGGGAGGAUCUGCUUUGUAUAAUUCUAAAUAAAAGAGCCAAAAUUGGUGGUUAUUGUC